AGCUUAGAGUUUGAUCCUGGCUCAGAUUGAACGCUGGCGGCAGGCUUAACACAUGCAAGUCGAACGGUAACAUGAGUGCUUGCACUUGAUGACGAGUGGCGGACGGGUGAGUAAAGUAUGGGGAUCUGCCGAAUGGAGGGGGACAACAGUUGGAAACGACUGCUAAUACCGCAUAAAGUUGAGAGACCAAAGCAUGGGACCUUCGGGCCAUGCGCCAUUUGAUGAACCCAUAUGGGAUUAGCUAGUUGGUAGGGUAAAGGCUUACCAAGGCGACGAUCUCUAGCUGGUCUGAGAGGAUGACCAGCCACACUGGAACUGAGACACGGUCCAGACUCCUACGGGAGGCAGCAGUGGGGAAUAUUGCACAAUGGGGGAAACCCUGAUGCAGCCAUGCCGCGUGUAUGAAGAAGGCCUUCGGGUUGUAAAGUACUUUCGGUAAUGAGGAAGGUGGUGUAUCUAAUAGGUGCAUCAAUUGACGUUAAUUACAGAAGAAGCACCGGCUAACUCCGUGCCAGCAGCCGCGGUAAUACGGAGGGUGCGAGCGUUAAUCGGAAUGACUGGGCGUAAAGGGCAUGUAGGCGGAUAAUUAAGUUAGGUGUGAAAGCCCUGGGCUCAACCUAGGAAUUGCACUUAAAACUGGUUAACUAGAGUAUUGUAGAGGAAGGUAGAAUUCCACGUGUAGCGGUGAAAUGCGUAGAGAUGUGGAGGAAUACCGGUGGCGAAGGCGGCCUUCUGGACAGAUACUGACGCUGAGAUGCGAAAGCGUGGGGAGCAAACAGGAUUAGAUACCCUGGUAGUCCACGCUGUAAACGAUGUCGAUUUGGGAGUUUGUUGCCCCUGAGUGAUGGGCUCCGAAGCUAACGCGAUAAAUCGACCGCCCGGGGGAGUACGGCCCGCAAGGUUAAAACUCAAAUGAAAUUGACGGGGGCCCGCACAAGCGGUGGAACCAUGUGGUUUUAAUUCGAUGCAACGCGAAGAACCUUACCGGGUCUUGACAUCCACAGAAUCUUGCAAAAAAUGCAAAAGUGCCUUUCGGGAACU
rnacentral:rRNA from 1 species